GUGCAUGCAAUCUUUUCGUCAUAUUCCAACAAUUGAAGCCAACCAUUUUUGUGCGUCGUGUCGAUCAUUUAAAUAAACAUUUUGCAACAGAUUUUUCAGUUUGUUCUUUUGUUAAUUUAAAUAUAUUUUAUUGUUCAAAAUGACAAAUGGAUCAGACACAAGUUUUACAUCUUAGUAACGUUUUCUCCAAAACGUUCUUUUUCUUUUGUUAUGCUGUUAGAUCACUGUCCCGGUUUAUGGGAGGGGUGUGCCAUUACGAAACUGUUUAACCCCCACAUUUUGUAUGUGCCUGUCCUAAGCCGUUAGUUUUGUCGUUUAAACUUUUCCCUAUUUUUCAAGUAGUUAUAAAUGUACGGUAUUGGUGAAUUCACACUGCCAUCUUACAUUCUUGCUGUUGGAGAUGACACUGUUGUCAGAUUGUGCUGUAAUCCUCGCAUUCAAAUAGUAUUAUGAUCAUCUACCUUAUUGGUGAACAAAAUAAUGCAUCAAAUUUUAAACAAGAAAACAAUUCGCUUCCAUAUACGCUGAGACGGAAAAUGUCCGCUAUCCAUAAACUUUGUUAAAUAGUCCGAUAAAUGGUAUUUGUAGAGUAAAUCCACACAGUCCUUUGAAAAAUCCGAUGCACAAUUGAUGUACUCUUGAUUGAAAUAUUUGAGUUCAAAAAGUCUAUGUACGAGAAUACGAAAUGAAUAUAUUCUAUACACAGG
rnacentral:lncRNA from 1 species